GGAGAGAUGCGAGAGUGGUUGAAUCGGGCGGUCUCGAAAACCGUUAUGUCCGCAAGGACAUCGAGGGUUCGAAUCCCUCUUUCUCCG
rnacentral:tRNA from 1 species